UACGAAGGGGGCUAGCGUUGCUCGGAAUCACUGGGCGUAAAGCGCACGUAGGCGGACUCUUAAGUCGGUGGUGAAAUCCUGGAGCUCAACUCCAGAACUGCCUUCGAUACUGGGAGUCUCGAGUCCGAGAGAGGUGAGUGGAACUGCGAGUGUAGAGGUGAAAUUCGUAGAUAUUCACAAGAACACCAGUGGCGAAGGCGGCUCACUGGCUCGGUACUGACGCUGAGGUGCGAAAGCGUGGGGAGCAAACAGG
rnacentral:rRNA from 1 species